CUAGUACUCCCUCCGUCCGGAAAUACUUGUCCUAGAAAUGGAUAAAAUGGAUGUAUCUAUAACUAAAAUAAGUCUAGAUACAACCAUUCCCGGACAAGUAUUUCCGGAUGGAGGGAGUAGUUG
rfam:Triticum aestivum genome assembly, contig: Triticum_aestivum_CS42_TGACv1_scaffold_061824_1DL